GACGAACCGUGCGAACGUUCUUCGGAAUCACUGGGCUUAAAGCGCGUGUAGGCGGGCGGGAACGUCGGUUGCUGAAAGCCCCCGGCUCAACCGGGGAACGGGCGCCGAAACGACCCGCCUCGAGGGACGUAGGGGGACCUGGAACUUCCGGUGGAGCGGUGAAAUGCGUUGAGAUCGGAAGGAACGCCCGUGGCGAAAGCGAGGUCCUGGACGUCUUCUGACGCUGAGACGCGAAAGCUAGGGGAGCGAACGGG
rnacentral:rRNA from 1 species